rnacentral:rRNA from 1 species
UACGAAGGGGGCUAGCGUUGUUCGGAUUUACUGGGCGUAAAGCGCACGUAGGCGGAUCGUUAAGUCGGGGGUGAAAUCCUGGAGCUCAACUCCAGAACUGCCUUCGAUACUGGCGAUCUUGAGUCCGGAAGAGGUGAGUGGAACUCCUAGUGUAGAGGUGGAAUUCGUAGAUAUUAGGAAGAACACCAGUGGGCGAAGGCGGCUCACUGGUCCGGUACUGGACGCUGAGGUGCGAAAGCGUGGGGAGCAAACAGG